GCCAGCCAUCACGUGUCACUCCUUCAGGACGGUUAGGAACUGCUGGCAGCCGUGGCCGAUCAAGUAGCAAUCAAAUUUUCUCGUCUGAUUUCAUGAGGAGGCGGAGAAGAAUAACGCAAUCACUUUGCCUCAAUGUUUCACCGUCUCUGCUUCACACUGGUAACUCGACUCCUCACAUCUUUGGAGCGGAAUUGCCGGUCAGCUUUUACACACUCAACAAACUAGAGGAUGAAUAAAGGAGGACGAUAAAGGUAGAAAUACUCAACGAAGUGAAAGGUCGCCUGGAUGAGCUUUACAACAUCGUCUGAGUGGCAUUGGUUACGACAUCGUGUGUGCAGAGUGGUACAGCGUGCGUCAGCUGGUGAGUGUGUGCAUGUGUGUGUGCGUGUGCCGCCUACGCUGUGAUGAGAUGAGGCGCCAGGUGGUGGUGAUGGUGGUGGUGAUGGUGGUGGUGAUGGUGGUCGGCUUGG